AAUGAACGUUGGCGGCGUGGAUUAGGCAUGCAAGUCGCGCGAGAAAUGUAGCAAUACAUGGAAAGCGGCGAAAGGGAGAGCAAUACAUAGGUACGUACCCUUGGGACUGGGAUAGCGGCGGGAAACUGCCGGUAAUACCAGAUGACGUUUCCGAACCAAAGGUGUGAAUCCGCCUGAGGAGCGGCCUAUGUCCUAUUAGCUUGUUGGCGAGGUAACGGCUCACCAAGGCAAAGAUGGGUAUGGGGUGUGAGAGCAUGCCCCCACUCACUGGGACUGAGACACAGCCCAGACACCUACGGGGGGCUGCAGCCGAGAGUCUUCGGCAAUGGACGCAAGUGUGACCGAGCGACGCCGCGUGCGGGAUGAAGGCCUUCGGGUUGUAAACCGCUGUCGUAGGGGAGGAAAUUCUGGUGGGUACUCCCAUCAGAUUGACUGAUCCUAGGAGGAAGGACCGGCUAAUCUCGUGCCAGCCGCCGCGGUAA
rnacentral:rRNA from 1 species